rnacentral:lncRNA from 1 species
CACAAUGGAAGGCGGGGGACACAAAUAGCAUCCGAGGGAAACUAGUGGCCCUGACUUGGAAAGCAAACCUCUCUGCAGCCACGGGACCCCCAACAGCAGCCUCACAGAGCCUGCCCCGGCCACCCUAGUCUGGGCUAACUGUCCUGCCUUCUCCUCCAAGAUUCCCUUGCCUGGGUCCCUCCUCCCUCGGCCUCACCACACUCCUCUGGGGACCCUGUGCUUGGACUCCACCCUUUCCUGUCCAGACCACUGUGAAGGCCUUUAGUCACCUCCUAGAGAAGCAAGAUUUUCAGCCCUGGCUUUCUACCCCCACACCCUACACAAUGUUCCUGCAGACCCUGUCUUCAGCACUGGCAUUGGGCAAUUAAUUAAAUUGCCAUUAUCCUCCACAAAGUGAUGACUACUGAUUAAGAACAGCCCUUUUUCUCCACCGCUCACUUGGCAGUCCUGUUUCUGCCUGGCCGCAGCCUCAAGUCUCUGCUCCAUGGCGCAAGGCAGACGCACGCAGACAGGCUUUGUCGGUUCGCUGAUGUGUGUUGUUUGGAAAAUGAGAACACAAGGAAAGCUGUCCUUAGGAGGAAGAGGCAAGGAGAGGCAUCGGGAGGCCAAGAGAUCAAAGCGAGGUGUCAGAAACAAAGACAGUGAAGGAGUUCAGUCCCCUUUUAAUGCUGCCUGCCAGUUCAGACGGCCACUGCCCUUGCCUUCUAGGGAAUUCUGCUGGUUAAGAAGCUCAGACAAGCCCCAGAAUGCCCCGAUGAGGACGCAACAGGAAGACAAUCCAUAGACAGAGAAAGUGCUUUGUUUUACGGUUUCCUGGGCACUGACACCAGCAGCCUUUUCUGCCAGCGGUUUGAAAUACGAGACGCUGGUGUUUUUUCCCGGCUCCCUGAAUUUAAAUUACAUCACCAAAGAAGAAACUUCCCGAAGGAAAUGAAUCUCUGCAGAUAACGAUCCCUCACAAUGGAUUCAAAUUGUAAUAAAAAUAUAACUUGAAUGUUAAAGGUGAAUUUCAAUUAAGGAUUCCAUCACAUAUUUUGCUCCAGACCACAAUAAAAAAACUUAUUUCACUGCCAACAGCAAGUCUCCUGCGACAUCUCUUUGAAAAUCAACUAUUUUUGAAAGCUAAGUUAGAAAAACACAUGUGCUCUAGGGUAUAAAGAAAGCAGCAUUGUGUAUAAAUUGUAAUACUGAGAGGUAG